rnacentral:lncRNA from 1 species
AGAAAGCUUGAUGCCAUAUGAUAAACAAGUGUUUGAUGAUGUUCAGUUUGAGGAAAUCGCACAGUACACUUUACAGACCGUUUGAAAACAGCACCUGUUGGCAAGACACACUGGCGAAACACCGCUGCGGAAAGCUUGAUUCCAGAUGAUAGAUAAGGGUUCAGUGUGACUGAAAUACGGACAGCCUGGUGAGCAUUGGUUCCACAUCCGUACAAAAGUCCAAAGCAGAUGACCGGUCAACAUGAUGUACAUGUAGGAUGAAUUUGGAAAGGACCUGGACAAUGUGAUGAAAGAACUUACUGUUUCAGUUGCAGUCUUCAAAGAUGAAUAAUUGUGGGAAAUCGCAAGAUACAGUUCAUAGACUUCUCGAACACCAGGCACUUGGCAAUGACCUAUGUGAGGAUUGGGCACUGGCAAAACAACAUGGCGGAAAGUUUGAUUCUAGAGAUGAUAAAUUAGAUCUAGGUAUAGAUGUCACUGAAAUACGGAAAUACCUUGGUCAGCGUUGAUGCCACAGCCACACGAUGACCGGUAAAGUAUCUACAUUUGGUCAAAUUUCGAAAGUACAAGGAGAGCUGGAUGAAAGAACUUUU